CCUACGGGGGGCUGCAGUGGGGAAUAUUGGACAAUGGGGGGAACCCUGAUCCAGCCAUGCCGCGUGUGUGAAGAAGGCCCUCGGGUUGUAAAGCACUUUCAGUGAGGAAGAACGCCUGGUGGUUAAUACCCAUCAGGAAAGACAUCACUCACAGAAGAAGCACCGGCUAACUCCGUGCCAGCAGCCGCGGUAAUACGGAGGGUGCGAGCGUUAAUCGGAAUUACUGGGCGUAAAGCGCGCGUAGGUGGCUUGAUAAGCCGGUUGUGAAAGCCCCGGGCUCAACCUGGGAACGGCAUCCGGAACUGUCAAGCUAGAGUGCAGGAGAGGAAGGUAGGAUUCCCGGUGUAGCGGUGAAAUGCGUAGAGAUCGGGAGGAAUACCAGUGGCGAAGGCGGCCUUCUGGACUGACACUGACACUGAGGUGCGAAAGCGUGGGUAGCAAACAGGAUUAGAUACCCGUGUAGUC
rnacentral:rRNA from 1 species